rnacentral:tRNA from 1 species
GGUAGCUCAGUGGUAGGGUGCCUGCCUAACAUGCAUAAGGCCUGGGUUCAAUUCACAGUACCA